CCCUUAGAUGUUCUGGGCCGCACGCGCGCUACACUGACGAAGUCAGCGAGCAUCUCCUACGCCGAAAGGUGCGGGGAAUCUUGUGAAACUUUGUCGUGCUGGGGAUUGAUUUUUGAAAUUCUUGAUCAUAAACGAGGAAUUCCUAGUAAGCGCAAGUCAGCAGCUUGCGUUGAUUACGUCCCUGCCCUUUGUACACACCGCCCGUCGCUACUACCGAUUGAAUGGUUUAGUGAGAUGUUUGGACCGGAACUCUCUUGCUCAGCAAUGGGCGAGAGAGUCUGGGAAGUCCCUCUAACUGUAUCAUUUAGAGGAAGUAAAAGUCGUAACA
rnacentral:rRNA from 1 species